rnacentral:rRNA from 1 species
GAUGAACGCUGGCGGCGUGCCUAACACAUGCAAGUCGAGCGAUCUUCUUCGGAAGAGAGCGGCGGACGGGUGUGUAACGCGUGGGUAACCUGCCCUGUACACACGGAUAACAUACCGAAAGGUAUGCUAAUACGAGAUAAUAUGCUUUUAUCGCAUGGUAGAAGUAUCAAAGCUCCGGCGGUACAGGAGGGACCCGCGUCUGAUUAGCUAGUUGGUAAGGUAAUGGCUUACCAAGGCGACGAUCAGUAGCCGACCUGAGAGGGUGAUCGGCCACAUUGGAACUGAGACACGGUCCAAACUCCUACGGGAGGCAGCAGUGGGGAAUAUUGCACAAUGGGCGAAAGCCUGAUGCAGCAACGCCGCGUGAGCGAUGAAGGCCUUCGGGUCGUAAAGCUCUGUCCUCAAGGAAGAUAAUGACGGUACUUGAGGAGGAAGCCCCGGCUAACUACGUGCCAGCCGCCGCGGUAA